rnacentral:rRNA from 1 species
CCCUUAGAUGUUCUGGGCUGCACGCGCGCUACACUGAAGCGUUCAACGAGUAUUCACCUUGCCCGGGAGGGUUGGGUAAUCUUUUGAAAACGCUUCGUGAUGGGGAUAGAUUAUUGCAAUUAUUAAUCUUCAACGAGGAAUUCCUAGUAAGCGCGAGUCAUCAGCUCGUGCUGACUACGUCCCUGCCCUUUGUACACACCGCCCGUCGCUACUACCGAUUGAAUGAUUUAGUGAGGACUUCGGACUGGGACCGAUGCGGCUUUCGGGCUGCGUCGGUAUUCUGGAAAGAUGUCCAAACUGUAUCAUUUAGAGGAAGUAAAAGUCGUAACA